UGUGGGGUGGUGUGGAGUGCACGAGAAGAUUUGGGUUUUUAAGUGAGGGUUCGGACCCUCUCUCACAA
rnacentral:tRNA from 1 species